UACGAAGGGAGCUAGCGUUGUUCGGAAUUACUGGGCGUAAAGCGCACGUAGGCGGGUAGUUUAGUCAGGGGUGAAAUCCUGAGGCUCAACCUCAGAACUGCCUUUGAUACUGGCUACCUUGAGGUCGGGAGAGGUUGGUGGAAUUCCUAGUGUAGAGGUGAAAUUCGUAGAUAUUAGGAAGAACACCAGUGGCGAAGGCGGCUCACUGGCCCGGUACUGACGCUCAGGUGCGAAAGCGUGGGGAGCAAACAGG
rnacentral:rRNA from 1 species